AAACAAAAAAAUCAUAGCGUGUACAGCCCGCGUCCAGAAAUGUACCCGAAUGCGUAUUGCACAGAAAUGUACCGUGCGAUAACAGCUGCUGCCGUUGAUCGAUGUCCGGUGACGAUAAAGCGGCGAGCAAAAUAGUAUAGCCGAGCGCACGGGACGCGUGUGUGUGUGUGUACCUCCUGCCUACCUCGCCGACACCUAUAGUUUAGUGCCCGCAAUCGGUACCUGUA